UUAAAACCUCUGGUACGUACAGUAACUUCAUCAUGAAUCACUUCAAUCAGCAAGAGGCCCCUGAUAAGUUUCAUUGUAUCAUUCAGCAUAAUGUUAUAUUUUGGCACCAAAAACCGUUGUUUUUCCUUAAGUUUUUACAUAAAAGCUUAAGUUGAAGAUCAUUCUUAAUGGGAUUAAUGAAAUGAAUGUUAUUAUGAUGCUGCAGUAUCAUAUCCACCACAGGUUCAGGCCUAUUCUUCAGCUCCAUAUGUUAGUGCCCCACCACUUAUGGGAUAUCCUUCCAAGGAUGAACCUGUAGCUAUGGGGUACCCACAGAGGGUUCCAGAGAUUUCUGAAACAUUGUCUCUUAGACCCUUCAAAAUUGCGGAUACAUGUUGCGCGAUGGGAGUGCACGAGUUUAAUGACUCGGCGAGUCUGGUGAGGUAAAUGUACCUGGAGCUCGACAGAUUUGGCUCAGAUGUGUUUGGCUCGAGGGCUGCUGGGAUUAACCCAAACGCGGCUUUUGGAUAAAGACGAGGAAUUUGUAUCUGGGUCGCGAGAAACAUCUUCUUAGUGUGGCGUGUGGUUGUUAGGGUGGUGGAGAGAGGCUUUGGAGAGAAGCGUGAAGCGUAGGUGACGUUUGAAAAUAGAAAACUGUGCAGAGAAAAUGAAGAAGAAAAAAAGAGAAAAGAUUGGGUUGAUUACUUACUUUGAGGCAAUACACUUUUAUCCCUUUACACCUUCAAGUAGCAUCCAGACUGAACUUGAGCAUCGCUAGAACAAUUUCUUCUCCAUCACUUGCAACCUCUCAC
rnacentral:lncRNA from 1 species